rnacentral:misc_RNA from 1 species
GAACGCACAUUGCGCCCCCUGGUAUUCCGGGGGCAUGCCUGUCCGAGCGUCAUUGCUGCCCUCAAGCACGGCUUGUGUGUUGGGCCCCCGCCCCCCGGUCCCGGGGGGCGGGCCCGAAAGGCAGCGGCGGCACCGCGUCCGGUCCUCGAGCGUAUGGGGCUUUGUCACCCGCUCUGUAGGCCCCGGCCGGCGCCCGCCGGCGACCCCAAUCAAUCUUUUUCAGGUUGACCUCGGAUCAGGUAGGGAUACCCGCUGAACUUAAG